CAGCCGCCACGGGAAUACGUAGGGUGCGAGCGUUAAUCGGAAUUACUGGGCGUAAAGCGUGCGCAGGCGGUUAUAUAAGACAGAUGUGAAAUCCCCGGGCUCAACCUGGGACCUGCAUUUGUGACUGUAUAGCUAGAGUACGGUAGAGGGGGAUGGAAUUCCGCGUGUAGCAGUGAAAUGCGUAGAUAUGCGGAGGAACACCGAUGGCGAAGGCAAUCCCCUGGACCUGUACUGACGCUCAUGCACGAAAGCGUGGGGAGCAAACAGGAUUAGAGACCCCUGUAGUCCCUGUCUCUUAUAC
rnacentral:rRNA from 1 species